CAGAAAGGGAAGGGACUGGCCCAUGACCACACAGUGUGUCAGUAGGACAGGAUGCAUAGAAAGUAGAAGCUGGAAGAAGAACCUCAAAUUAGGCUACAGGUCGGGACUCGGGACUUUUGAUUGCUCCUCCCAUCAGCCUCCAGCUCCAACUGGGCAGCACUAGCUUUUUAAUAGUCAAGCUACUAUGCUCCAGACCCUGUGCUAAGCACUUUUCUUAUAUUUCGUGUCUGAAGGCUUGCAAGAACACAGUGAGCUUGCUAGUCACGUCUGAAUUCAAGACUGGUCCACGUUGCCUCUGUUAUUAGCAUGGGGAGGAUUACCUUUCUCCAAGAUUUCACAACGAGUUGGAAUAUGCUCACAGUCAAACGGCGACGUCUUGAGAACAGUGAAAAUAAAGUAGAUCCAGUCGGUACCUGUUGUUACCUUGAUCUUGGAAUCCACUGGGGAAGACAGUGUUCAGCAGAGGGUUACACAGAUGACAGGACCAAUGACAUUGUCACACGAGGUGUGAAAGAAAAUUGCCAAGUUGUCUGAGAUCAUAUAAUAGAAGGGGCGAUGGAUUUGUGUACCUAAAAGAUGUCACAAAGUCCCACUGAGGCUGAGAUCUCUGUAAGAGUAAAUCAGGUAGGGAAGGAGGUGAGAGCAUCUGGAUUCGGGGAAGAAUGUGUCCCGAAGCUCCAAGCAGGGAGGAAUAGCCUGAAUAACAUGGUGGCAUCAAAUUUUCACCUUUCAGAGAACAAAUGCUCUGUUUUAUCCAAAAUAACCGGCUGAUAGGCAGAAUGUCUCAAUUGAAUUAGAAACCGUUUUACUGACAUCAAGGUGUUUAAAAAUAUGAGCAGUGAUUUUGAAACAGUCGCCCCACCUUCUGGAGAGCAGAACCUCACACAACCCCGUGACCCUGGAGGAGCUUUCCAAUACACAGGAGCCACUGAGGCCUGAAGAUUCCUGGUUUUCUUUUGUGAACUAUUGACCUCCCUGAGUUGGUAGAGACAAAAGCAGCCAAGUCCCCAAAGUAUAAUAUUUAGGGGGAAAUAAGCAGAAAUGUCAGUCAAGCCUGAAAACUACUGCUGAAAACUGCUGCUCUUUCUGCUCCUUGGAUUUGGGACUGCUUCUUCCCCACUCCCACUACUGCCAUCAUCAUCAUCAUCAUCG